CAUUGACCAACAGCAUCAGCAUCACCUGAGAGCAUGUUAGAAAUGGGGAAUCUCAGGGUGAAAUUGUCUUCAGAAGCCUGAAAACACACCCCAGACAGAGAAUAAAGACAGGCAGGCCAAGGAAAUGCAUCAAGGAGAGCUGAAAGAGCAGUUGGAGGCUCAGAGCAAAGAGCCCCAGGCAAGGUACCAGGAGAAGAACCAGUGUGAGCUCUGAGUGGGGCCAUGAGCUGUCAAUUGCUUUUGAAGGAGAUUGCCGUUCAUGCCUCCUGUUGUGGUGAGGGUGGGUCCCCGCCAACAGUGAAGAGCGUCAGCUACACCCACCCCAGCCUACAAAGAAGAAAAGGAAGAUCAAGAGAGUGAGAGGCUGGCAAAUUCUUCACAGAGGGGAUUAUACAUGGCGAUGUGGACUUCCAUUUCUGGAAAUAUAAUGGACUAGAAAUCCUGAUAACCUUUCCAUUCCAAAAUAGGCAAGCAAACAACAACCAUUUAAAAUACUGAAUAACAUGUUUAAAAAAUUCAGAACCCUUGGGGCAGUGGAGAAAGACUCAGGAUGUGAAAAUAAAGUGGCCACAGA